rnacentral:rRNA from 1 species
AUUGAACGCUGGCGGAAUGCUUUACACAUGCAAGUCGAGCGGCAGCGCGGCCUUCGGGCUGGCGGCGAGCGGCGAACGGGUGAGUAAUGCAUCGGAACAUGCCCAGUCGCGGGGGAUAACACUUCGAAAGAAGUGCUAAUACCGCAUACGUCCUGAGGGGGAAAGCGGGGGAUCGCAAGACCUCGCGCGAUUGGAGUGGCCGAUGUCAGAUUAGCUAGUUGGUGGGGUAAAGGCCUACCAAGGCGACGAUCUGUAGCUGGUUUGAGAGGAUGAUCAGCCACACUGGGACUGAGACACGGCCCAGACUCCUACGGGAGGCAGCAGUGGGGAAUUUUGGACAAUGGGGGCAACCCUGAUCCAGCCAUUCCGCGUGAGUGAAGAAGGCCUUCGGGUUGUAAAGCUCUUUCGGCAGGAACGAAACGGUGGGCUCUAACAUAGUCCGCUAAUGACGGUACCUGAAGAAGAAGCACCGGCUAACUACGU